CCAAUAGCGUAUAUUAAAGUUGUUGCAGUUAAAAAGCUCGUAGUUGAAUUUCGGGAUCAAUGUUUCGGUCAUGCCGUUGGUAUGUACUGAUAUUAUUGGUUUCUCACCUUCUAAAGAACCGUAAUGCCAUUAAUUUGGUGUCACGGGGAAUUAGGACUGUUACCUUGAAAAAAUUAGAGUGUUUAAAGCAGGCUAACGCUUGAAUACAUUAGCAUGGAAUAAUGAAAUAGGACGUUCGAUCUUAUUUUGUUGGUUUCUAAGAUUGACGUAAUGAUUAAUAGGGAUAGUUGGGGGCAUUAGUAUUCAAUUGUCAGAGGUGAAAUUCUUGGAUUUAUUGAAGACUAACUACUGCGAAAGCAUUUGCCAAGGAUGUUUUCAUUAAUCAAGAACGAAAGUUAGGGGAUCGAAGACGAUCAGAUACCGUCGUAGUCUUAACCAUAAACUAUGCCGACUAGGGAUCGGAUGAUGUUAAUUUUUUAAUGACUCAUUCGGCGCCUUACG
rnacentral:rRNA from 1 species